GCCUACGGGGGGCAGCAGUGGGGGAUAUGGCACAGUGGGGGAAACCCUGAUGCAGCGACGCCGCGUGUGGGAAGACGGUCUUAUGGAUUGUAAACCACUGUCCCCAGGGACGAAAAUGACGGUACCUGGGGAGGAAGCUCCGGCUAACUACGUGCCAGCAGCCGCGGUAAUACGUAGGGAGCAAGCGUUGUCCGGAAUUACUGGGUGUAAAGGGAGCGUAGACGGCCAGACAAGUCUGAAGUGAAAAUCCAGCGCUUAACGUUGGAAGUGCUUUGGAAACUGCCGGGCUAGAGUGCAGGAGGGGG
rnacentral:rRNA from 1 species